UACCAUCCAUCAUGUUCUACCGGGGU
rnacentral:piRNA from 1 species